UUCAAGUAUGGUGAUUCAGGUUUGGCCUUGAUCUUGUUACACGAGGAGAAAUUGAUUUACUGAAAAGACCAUUAAACGAUUAAUGGUAAGAUGCAUUUUGUCUGAGAGUAGACGUUAAUGUAAAUCAUUUGAAAUUCAAACUACAAUACGAUAGCCUGAUAAAAUCAAUCAAAAGGACAGUCAUUAUCUCGAAAUGAAAUUCGGUUACCGACACCUGAGGCUCUCUGUCCUAACUUUAAGGAUUCAAUGCCGCGAAAUAUAUUUACAUUGCCAAAUUCUCUACCGUUCGCUCUGAAAUGCUCCAGUGCCCAGGCUUGAGUCAGUUGACUUUGCAGUGUCGAAAUACAGCCAUGGAUAGCACCAAAAAAUUUGCCAACGCCAAGUGCCGUUGGCGAAUUUCGCAACCAGACGCUGGAGCAGCAGUACCGUGCGUAUAAAUAAUGAUGCCAAUUUAUUCAGAAGCUUUAGAACCCGACAUCAAUUAUGAGAAUUGAGACAGAUGAAACAAAUAUUUGCUGACAACAUGCGUGCCUGGAUUGCCGUUGACGUAGGAAUCUAUACAUGAAACAUUUCCCCAGUCUAGAACGAGAAUAUUUUACUUGUCUUUUUUCCUGCAGCACAGGUGGUUGUUACUAAUGAAGCCUUCAUUACGGAAAGAAUUCCUGUACCAAGAGCGUAUCAAAUCGGCAUUCACGUUCUUUCUUUACGUGAAAAAUGAAAUCGAAUCUGGCUUCGAUAGUAGGAAAAUAAAAAAAUCAGAACCUGAUAAAUAUUACGCAGUGAAACUCA